rnacentral:rRNA from 1 species
UACGUAGGGUGCAAGCGUUAAUCGGAAUUACUGGGCGUAAAGCGUGCGCAGGCGGUUUUGUAAGUCUGUCGUGAAAUCCCCGGGCUUAACCUGGGAGUGGCGAUGGAGACUGCAAGGCUAGAGUUUGGCAGAGGGGGGUAGAAUUCCACGUGUAGCAGUGAAAUGCGUAGAGAUGUGGAGGAACACCGAUGGCGAAGGCAGCCCCCUGGGUCAAAACUGACGCUCAUGCACGAAAGCGUGGGGAGCAAACAGG